rnacentral:rRNA from 1 species
UGCAGUCGAGCGGUAACAGGUCUAGCUUGCUAGAUGCUGACGAGCGGCGGACGGGUGAGUAAUGCUUGGGAACUUGCCUUUAGGAGGGGGAUAACUACUGGAAACGGUAGCUAAUACCGCGUAAUACCUGUGGGUCAAAGGGGGCAACUUGUUGCUCUUGCCUAAAGAUAGGCCCAAGUGAGAUUAGCUAGUUGGUGGGGUAAAGGCCUACCAAGGCGACGAUCUCUAGCUGUUCUGAGAGGAAGGUCAGCCACACUGGGACUGAGACACGGCCCAGACUCCUACGGGAGGCAGCAGUGGGGAAUAUUGCACAAUGGGGGGAACCCUGAUGCAGCCAUGCCGCGUGUGUGAAGAAGGCCUUCGGGUUGUAAAGCACUUUCAGUCGUGAGGAAGGGGUAAUAGCUAAUACCUAUUAUCAUUGACGUUAGCGACAGAAGAAGCACCGGCUAACUCCGUGCCAGCAGCCGCGGUAAUACGGAGGGUGCGAGCGUUAAUCGGAAUUACUGGGCGUAAAGCGCACGCAGGCGGUUAAUUAAGUUAGAUGUGAAAGCCCCGGGCUUAACCUGGGAUGGUCAUUUAAAACUGGUUGACUAGAGUCUUGGAGAGGGGUGUGGAAUUCCACGUGUAGCGGUGAAAUGCGUAGAUAUGUGGAGGAACAUCAGUGGCGAAGGCGGCACCCUGGCCAAAGACUGACGCUCAUGUGCGAAAGUGUGGGUAGCGAACAGGAUUAGAUACCCUGGUAGUCCACACUGUAAACGCUGUCUACUAGCUGUGUGUGUAUUUGAUACGUGCGUAGCGCA